AUGGGGAAUUGCCAGGCAGCGGAGGUGGCCACGGUGGUGAUCCAGCACCCCGGCGGGCGGGUGGAGCGGCUUUACUGGCCGACGAGCGCGGCGGAUGUCAUGAAGAGCAACCCGGGCUACCACGUCGCCCUCGUCACCCUCUACGUCUCGGAGACGAAGACGGACGGCGGCGGCGGCGGUGCCGGCACCGUGCGGUUCACCCGCGUGCGGCUGCUCAAGCCCAGGGACAUGCUCCUGCUCGGCCAAGUUUACCGGCUCAUCACCUCCCAAGAAGUUGCAAAGGCUCUGAGGCAAAGGAAGUAUGAGAAGCUCAAGAAAAACCAGGCUGAAUCGAUCAGAAAACAGCAACAGCAGCAGCAGCAUGGAACAAACGAUCAGUGUGCAGAUCCUGCUCGACAGGAAAAAGAGGAGGAUUCAGAUGCCACACAUCAGGCAACAAAUCAGGAGAGGGAUCGGCAAAAGAGCAGAACGCAGGUGGCGGCAAGAGGCCGCCAUUGGCGUCCUUCGCUUCAGAGCAUCUCAGAAGCUGGGAGCUAAUUGCGCAACCAUCGCGAGCUGCUUUCACAACGCAUAGACCCAAGUCUUGACGGAAUUCACACACAGGUCUCGGGCAUGAUAGUUAUGGAAAGAAGCAUUCCAUCAAAGAAAGAGUUGAGAUUCGGGUUGCUAUUGCUGGAGAAAAAUCUGAACAGGGAGAACAGACAGGAGAUGCAGAGUCUUGGCUUAUGAAACAUGAUGGAGUUGAACUACCUUUGUUCUGAGUUACUGUGAUGUCUUGAACCCACUCAAAUUGUACGAUGGCAGUCACUUGGAUAUCUGGUGACCCAAUAAACGAUAUGAACGUACCGUGGUCAACGAGGUUGCUGGGCAGUCCACAUCUUCCAGCCCUGCUCGACAUGGAGAAGCCCCUGCGGCUGCUGCUACAAGAUCUCCAGGAAGUUUCCUCUCCCUUGGUGCAAAGUAGUACGUCAGCUUCCACCAAGUAGUGUCUUAGGGCGAAGUUGCCCAAGCACCAAAGGAUGCUGGAUCAUUUGGCAGGUUUGCGAUCUGUAUGAUCAAUCUUACCACAAAGUGAUAUGAUCAUAUCGAAGAAGAAGUGCAUGACGAGCAGCAUAAUCUGAAGGACAUACACAUACCUUUUCUGGACAAUAUAGCUUCGUAUAAUAUUCUCCUGAUAGAUCCACUGGAACACUCCUCGAUUGGUUUUACCGGUGUAAGGCUACUGAAAUCAAUGUAAAGCAAGUUUCUACAUCA